rnacentral:rRNA from 1 species
UACGAAGGGGGCUAGCGUUGUUCGGAAUUACUGGGCGUAAAGGGCGCGUAGGCGGUCCUGAUCGUCGGAUGUGAAAGGCCUGGGCUCAACCUGGGAACUGCAUCCGAUACGGCGGGACUGGAGUGUGGGAGAGGUUGGUGGAAUUCCCAGUGUAGAGGUGAAAUUCGUAGAUAUUGGGAAGAACACCGGUGGCGAAGGCGGCCAACUGGACCACAACUGACGCUGAGGCGCGAAAGCGUUGGGGAGCAAACAGGG